GUCUCCCGCAGGCCCCUCUGGUAGUCCUCUUCCCACCCGCCGCCCGGGGCUGCGCCGCAGCCGCCGCCGCACCCUCCAGCACCGCCGCCCCAGUCCCAGCAGCCGCCGCGUCGCCGCCAUUUUUUAAAGGGUCCGCAGCCUGACUCUGCCGAGUAAGGGGGGUGGGGCGGGUGAGUCGGCCUCGCCAGUGCGCAUGCGCGAGGCCCGAGCCGCCGCUUUGGUCACAGUGACCGCCACCGUUGCCCGGGGAUAGGUCCCUGAGAUGAGACUUGGCGAAGUAGGAGCCCUGUGUGAUGGUGCGUCAGAGUCGGGGCUGAGGCCAGCCCCGGCCAGGGCAGUUACCAGGACGGUCUCCGGAGGCCGGGAUUCGCGGAGGGUCCACCAGCAGGAAGAAACUCCAGGAGGAAGAAACCUCAGACAGAUCGCCAGGGAGGCAGCGCGGGAUCCCAGCCUCAGGCGUGCGCGGAUGGUGUGCGGAGAGGUAGAAGCAAGAGAAGCAUAAACAUAUAAUUUCAAUGCAAUAUGGGAAUUUUGUACAGAGUUCCUAAAAAAAGGGAUCACGAUGCCAGUGUAUUGCCUCACUGAUUGCUAAAUGAAGAGGACUAUAAUGAAGCAUUCAAAGAACGUGAUGUGCCUCUGGGGCAACUGAAGGAUUGCUAUCUGACUUAUGCAUUUAAAACCUUCGAAGUGGAAGUUUGUCUGGAAUGGCUUAGGCAAACAGACUGGGUUGGAUUGAGAAUUGAAUGUAUACAUAAAAUUUGGUUUGGUCAGAUGAGAACACCAAAUGUGGUAGCUAGAUCACCGUUAUUUAUGAGAUUUUUAUUGGGUUGAUUUGUCUUGAAAGAAUCAAAUCUAAGAGAAAUGUUUGGAAUGGCUAGAUGAUCCUAAUAGAAGAAAUCUUACAGGUCUUUACUGCUAAAGCUAAGGAGAUGAGAGUAAACAGUAAGUGGCCAAUUCAAAGAAGCAUGGACUAUGUUGAAACAUGGACUAUAGCUGCAAUUUCCCAGUGGUGCAGUUUUCAAGCGUUUUACCCCAGGAAAGAAAAAAAUAAAUAAAUGAAAAGUAGCCAUUUCA